GUAUGAUUAUAUAUAAAGUCUAGCCUGCCCACUGGAAUUUUAAGGGCCGCGGUAAUUUGACCGUGCGAAGGUAGCAUAAUCAUUAGUCUUUUCAUUGAAGGCUGGAAUGAAUGGUUGGAUGAGGGAUAUACUGUCUUUAUAUUUAAAUAAAUGAAAUUUAACUUUUAAGUGAAAAGGCUUAAAUAUUUUAGUGGGACGAUAAGACCCUAUAAAACUUUAUUUGGUAGUAGAGUUAGCGAUGACUUUGUUUUAAAAUUGCUAUUUUUGCGUUAAAUUUUGUUGGGGAGACAUUAAUAUAAUAGGUAACUGUUGUUGAAAUUAAAUAAUUAUAAUUAGAGUUUUGAUCCUUUAUUAGAGAUUAAAAGAUUAAGUUACUUUAGGGAUAACAGCGUAAUUUCCUUUGAGAGUCUCUUAUCGACAAGGUUAGUUGCGACCUCGAUGUUGAAUUAAAAUUUCUGGGGGGGUGUAUCUUUUCUCCUAGUGAGUCUGUUCGACCCUUAAA
rnacentral:rRNA from 1 species